GAACAUGAGACGAGACCCGUUCAUUCUUCAGUAAAGGACAGUUCGGUGCAGGAAGCAUCCCGUGUUUAUGUUUAUGUAGGAUCUGGGGAAGUCCCACACCCAGUUCAAGUUUCAAUACAAGCAGGACGCCAGCCUAUGUAUGUAGAUCAAAACCAGCAAGUGCGUACACUAAAUGAGCAAGGUCAUCUAACUCGGCAAGAGUGUACAUUGAAUAGGCAUCAUGAUCUAACUCAGCCAACGUGUACAUUGAAUAGACAACCCGAUAUAACUCAGCAAAUGUGUAUAUUAAAUAGGCAAACUGAUGGAACUCCAGUAAACACUUCUGCACCUAAAAGAAACUCCAAUGCUGUGUACUGUCACAUAGAAGUCAAAUACGAACACAUAAUUAAAAAAAAAUUAUCACAGCAUCAACAACAUCGUGGCACUACAUUAACUCAUUAACCGGCAAUACCGAAUAACAAAUUCCAUCUGACAAGAAAAGACAGCAAUUUGACCACCAAUCUUAGCCACUCUGCAUAAUGUCAAGGCUGUGGUAGCGCUUAAAGGGCUUAAAGGGUCCUUUUCCUCCUCUUCUCUCCACUCGAGAAAAAACCUUGCAAAACUCUGACUCUUCAGUGAACUCUCUUAUCCUACGUAUAGGCUACAAACCAGUCAUUAUUUUGUUAAAAACGUAAUUUACCAAGAAAACUGACACACUCGAUGUGAGGCAAGCUUCUUGAUUAGCGAUUUCACAGACAUCCUAGCACGUUGCAGAAGCAAUUACUCUCUCACCAAACACCAUAUAUCACUGUACAAGGUAUACAAAUGUCGCAGGUCUUAUGUUUCGUCAAGGGACUCACAGUUUCCUCAGAGCUUGCGCAAAUCGUAGACAUGUUGGCAGUUCCUAUUCAUAUUUGCAUAUUCUAGAAUUCACCCCAAUCACACUAUACCUCAAGUCGUGACUCUUUUAGGGCCGUCCCUAGGAUCCGAACCAAAAACCUGCUCAACUAAACUGCAAAAUACAAAUCGAGAAAACUUAGCACAGUACAAUCAUCAUCAAUGUAUCAAAAAUGUAGCACAAUAUUCCCAGCAUAUUAUAGAUUAAAAAAAAAAAAAUAGUAUACACUUGGGAUAUCCAGCACUUUUAGCAGCAGUUCUGCCAGAUAGAUUGGUGUAGUAUUGUUGAAUAAUGAAGCUAUUCGACCUUGAUCCGCUUGGUUCAGGGGAAUCAUGGGAACUCACAGCUGAACUUCCAGAGGACAUCCCUGCAACAAUUUGGUGUAUGUCCCAAAUCAUCAGAUAAUUGGUUUGUUGAAAACAAAUCUGGUAGCAACAAAGAGUUUGCAACAAAAAGAAAAACAAGGGCUAACAACACCAACAAAAUACCCAGUGUAGUGGGGUCUGGGAAGAUAAAGUAUACACGGACCUUACCCCUAUCUCGUAGAGGUAGGGAGGCUGUUUGCGGAGAAAAAAGGUUAAUCUAUUGCAAAUAUGUGAUUUCCGGUAACACUGUCACUCGCAGAAAAUGAAAAAUCCUUGUACAUACACAUUAUAUUCCCCCACUUUUUUGCAUCAUCAUCUUGGCAUGGAGAUGCUCAGAUAAUGUGCACAAGUAUUCAAGUCAAGACAAGAAUGAUGUUGGUGUAUAGCCAAUGCAUAACAGGUCACACACAAUAGUUUAAGAGGAUGCGGGAGACUGCCUCUAUGAUGCUGCUCACAUAAUGUCGGGUGAAUCACAAGUUAAAGAUAAGCCCGUAAAAUUUAACACCUUCAAUGAAAUACCUUAAUUAUUCCUAAUGCAAUAGUUUAAACAGGACAAGCGAGGAAGAAAGUGCAUAAAAGGAAAAUAACUACUCCAGGAAUUAACACUAACACUACCCAGGCAUGAUUCCUAAAACAAUUACACACAAAUUGUCAUAUGAAAGAUACAUGGAAAAUGCCAAAUUAAAUGAUUACCUUGAAAACACAGGAUGAGAAAGAAGAGGACAGAAAAGAGAAAGGCAAGGACACUGCCCAUGGAUGAUGGUGAAGUAGAAGAUGCUUUUGCUGCUUUCAUUUUCUUCAAAGCCUUGAUUCGCUCAAUUCGCGCACGCUUGAUCAUUGCGAGUUCGGCGAUCUCUUUGAUAAGCUUCUGGUCAGCAGCAUCCAAGGAUAAUCCUCUUGGAGGUCUGGGAGGUUUUUUAGCACUGGUGGAUUUACGCUUAUCUUUCACUUUUUUCUUGUCUAUGCGAUUUGCAGUCGUCACAGGUACUGUAGAAAGCUCAUGCUCAUGCUCAUGCUCAUGCUCAUCCUUGAUCAAACAGAGCCCAUUUUCAACUUCAAUAAGUUGUUCAUCGUCACAGGUACUGUAGAAAACUCUCUUGCCUAGUUUAUCAGCAGAAAAAGGAUCAGGACUUGCUGGUGCUUCACUCAUUCUCUUGCACAUCUCAACAUCAACCACAAAAUCAAAGGGUGUACGAUCCAUGACAACUCUACUCGGCAAACUUAAAUAUCUCUAUAAUAAAUUCGAGAACAUAAGCCAGCACCCAGAUUUAUCUUUCAACAGGUUAUCAUCUGAAAGACAAUUUAUCAAACACCAUUCAGUUUCCUGAGCUCAAUUAUUAAUUUCUUCACCCCCACCCCCACCCCCCAAUUUAUAUCCAAGGCCCCUAAAAUUCUGUCAAUUUUUGGAAACAAUUCUACUAUUUCACUGUAGAUUUCUUCAUAGGCACCUAAAGCUUCACAAUUUCAAAUAAACACAAGCUGGUAAAGGAAUUUACUUUGGAAACAAGAAAGGAAAUCAGUUACAAUCUGAAUCUAACAAAUUAAUUAAACUAGCUGAACGAAGAUAACUUGGGAAAUAAACAUCAAAAGCGAACUUAUAACCGAUUAAAGAAUAAAGAAGCAACUCAUUCAGUCAGAUUAACAUAGUUCAUCAAUAAAGAUGAAUUGGGAAGGAAACAUCAAUCAAAUUAAAUACUAUAAAGAAAGUAAGUUGGGGUUUUAGUGUGUGGACCUUUAGGAUUGAAGACAAGGCAGAUAGAUCCAUAGAGAGUGGAUAGUGUGAUUCAAAAAUUGUGGAGAUUCAAUUAAGAGGAGUGCACGUAUAUCAAUCACUAUAUAUAUUAAUAAAUAAAUGACGAGUGCCAUUGCCAGAGCUUGACAUUCAAAUUGAAUUAUAUGAGAGAGAGAGAGAGAGAGAGUGAAGGCGACAAGUAAGCCUAGAUGCACGCGGGUGUUUCUGUGGGAAUUAACACCGAAACUUCAACUUACUUUUUUCAUUAUUUUUAUUAUUUUUUUUAAACAAAAAAAUCAUACUACUCCGUAAUUGUUUUAAGGAAAGCGACUUGUCCAAAAUCUGUUGCCGUUUGAUUAUGAAAUUGACAGCACACUGCAGCAGCAGGUGAGGAGAAAGUGAGAUUCUGCCUACCUGCCAGUUUUUGAUGAAUCUCCACCGACACUUUUCUCUUCCCACUUCUAACCCUAACCCCUCUCCAUAAUUAAUCCAACAUGACAACUUACGUCAAAUUUAGCUCACUACUAUAUUAUAUAAUAAAUAGAUUAUAUUUAUAUUUAAUUCCAAGAUGUUUAGUUUUGUGGUAUCAUAUUAAUUUAUCCUUCUUAUUUAUGUUUUCUCAAAUUAAAAUUGAACCUACUUAUAUUUCACUACGUAUUCUAAAAUUUAAAUCAACGAGUAGGAAAUACAUAACCCACUUUCCUUUUUAAAUGACAACGGAUUCUUACUAUAAGAAAAAAAAAAAAUAUUUAUAUGUUGUUGCAACUUUAGACUAUGAUAUUAUGGGUGCAGCUAAAUGACUAGAAUGAUUCAAUUUUGUAAAAUGACUUUUUGGCCCUUUGACUCCAAAAUCACUUACCUUUCAUUCCAAAAUGCAAAACUACUUCCUUUUAACUCCAAAAUUAUUUAUUUUUCCCUCUAAAAAUAAAACCACUUUAACUUUUAUUUUUUAUUUUUAUUAUUCUUUCUUAUUUUUUUUACUAUUUUUUCAUAUUUAAUUUUUAUAUUUUAUUUUUUCAUUCUACUUUUUCCUUACUUAUUUUAAGUUUUCUCAUUUAAUUUGAAAUCUUUUAAUCAUCAUUUUUAACUUGUAUUAUAUAUUUUUUUUCUUCCAUUACUUCUAUCUCUUUAGUUAUUUUACUAUACAGAUCUUUCAACUUUUUUAUUUUUAAUUUUUUUUUUAAUUUUAAAUCCUCCAUAUAUCUCAUCUACAAAAUUUCUUCUAUAAUUUUAUUUUUUUAAUGAAUUCAAUUUAACAAAAAUAUUUAACUAAGAGAAACCAUGAAUGAAAUUUUUGGAAUUGAAAAUAGUAAUAGUUUAGUCGCUAAAUUUAUAAUCAACAAAAAUUCAAAUAUGAUUACUUUUAAAGUUAAAUUCAUUUUUAUUUUGCUUAUAAACAAAAGAAAAUUGCCUUUAAAUAGCAAUUCAAUUGAUAGUUAUCAACAUGAUAUUUUAACUGUAAAUUAAUAAGUUUGACUUAAAAAUUUUAGUGUAAUUUUUAUCUUGUCUCUAAAUAACUCGCAUAUUAAGUUUAUAUAGGUUUGAUUAAAAAUUCAACUGUGUGCAAAGAUUAAGUAUAUGAAUAAAAAUUAAUGAGAUCGUCACAUAAUGUUAUUCUAACAAACUGAUCAAAAAAUUUAUAAUCAUUGAAUCACAACUUUGAGAUUAGAAAGCUGCGAUAACAUACAAAUUUAUUUUAGUUAAAUUAUAUUUAAUAUUUGGAAGUAUUUUUAUUUUGUUUCACUAAAAUUAUAAAGUAUUUCAUAAUUAUUUUGUCUAAGAAAAUUAAUUGGCUUGUAAAAAUUGAAGCCUAGAAUUAUUUGGCUUGUAAAAAUUGAAGCCGAAAGUAUUUUAUCUUAUUGUUGUUGGUGAUGCUGGUGUUGUUGUUGUUGUUGUUGGUGGUGGUGAUGGUGGUGUUGCCGCUGCUGCUACUACUACUGUGCUGCUACUGCUACUACUACACUUCUUAUUAAAAAUAAAUUUAAGAAGUGAAAUUGAGUUACUAGAAGUCAUCACUUGUGUUGGUGAGUCAUAAAAUUCACAAAUUGAAACUCGAUUUAAUCCUAGUAUAUGCUGAAUCAAUAUUUUUCAAAUAGAAUUCGGCCAUUUAUGUUGACUAUAUAGUGACAAAUUGACACAUGAUUCAAUCCUAACAUAGAUUGAAUCAAUAUGUCACAUUUAGAAGUCAAUCUUUUAUUUUAACUAUAGUCGUGAUAGAUUGAAACUCGAUUUGAUCCUAACAGAGAUUGAAUCAAUAUUUUUCAAGUAGAAAUAAAUUAUUUAUGUUGAUUCUAAUCACGAUAAAUUGAAAUCCAAUUCAAUCCUUAUAAACACCUAAUUUCGUCCCUCCCCGAUGUCGUUUUAUCCAUUUUUAUCUUAUCCUACCGUGUACCCUCACCCGUGUGAUAAUCCCUCCACAAAUAACAAAAAUAACAAUCCCCUAACUAAUUUUGUCUUAUCCUAGCAGCUUACCCAAACAAAAAUAGACAUCUAACCCUUAUCCCUCCAAUUAAAAAACAACACCUACCUACCCUAUCCUAACAACCCAUCCAAUCAAAAACCACAUCACACCCUACCCCCUACCCCACGUGACCCCACCUACCUCACCACUACCCCACCCUCAUCACAUAUAUCACACACUCUCAUAUAUUCACUGAUAUAUUCACCAACACACAGAUACCCACCGACAAAAAACUCACCUCACGCCAUUUUCUUAGGCUUCUUCUUCUUCUCACACAGAGCACACACUCACAUACCGUCACUGACUAUCACACAUGCACAAUGAAUUCACGCACAAAAUCUCACGCCACACACUGAUAGGAAUCCGAAAACACAGUGGACAAAGGCGAACACCCACACGUCACAGUCACCCUCCCCGACGCUUCACCGGAAUUUGAUUUCCUCGGAAAAGAAGACACGCUCUGAGAUCGGAAUAUGGAGAAAGUGAGAUAAUCGAGCAAGAAAAUCAUAGAAAAUCGAAGAAGAUAUUGAGUAGCGAAGAAAUCUGAGAGGAAUGGAGAGAUGGUGAGAAGCAAGUAAAAAUCGAGAGAGAGAGAGAUCGGAGACCGGCGAGUCUUCGCCUGAAGCUCACAGGAAAGGGCUCUUCCGCCGCCAGAAUUGGCAAAACCAGCCUCCAAACAACUGAAAUAGACCUGUUAUGGGCUGAUUCCGACCAGCUCCACCAGAAAAUUGAUAUGUCGCCCAUCACCGAACAACCACAGCUGCAACCCAUCGAAAAUCAUUCGACAUCCUACGACCCAACUUCACCGUUGUUGUUGUCUCUGUUUCGACAGCAGAAAUACACCAGAAAAGGUAAUAUUCCCACCGAUUGAGUUUUGAGUGACGACAGUCGUGGAUUCUGUUCGAGAACUUCGAUUUGGGCUUGGGUUAGUCGUUGUCUUUGAUUUGGGUUGGUCAGUUCGUGAUUGAGGUUCAAAUUGAGAGUUUUUGGAUCCGACUUUGUCUUUUGAUCACAUAUUUUGGCACUCUACACUUUCUCUCAUCUAUUUUAUUAUUUGUGAUGUUUCGUAUUUCGAAUUGGAUAUUCGUGUGUGUGGUUUGAUCUUCGUUGGUGAGAUGAUUUCGUUGGUCACGAUUGUGUGUGAUGUCAAUGAUGAAUAUUGAGUUUACAGUGAUUGUGGAUUGUUGAAAUAGUAAUCGUGAUUGUUGAAAUUUUGUGUUAAAAUAAAAUUGGGGGUGGGAAUUAAAAAUUGCUAAAAUGAAUGUUGAUUAAUUUUGAUGUAUGAAUAAUGUUAAACACGAUGGAAUUGUGAUAUGUUGAACUUGAUAGGCAAAUGUAGGUCGGGUAGUCAAAUUUAGAAAUAACAAUUUAUUGGAAUAUUUGAAUAUGUGCGUGAAUGGUUCGUUUUACUUUAUCAAACGAAAAGCUUCAAUUGUAUAUUUUGGUCGGGGAAUGCCUUAAAGUAUCUGUAUAUAUUUAUUCACCGGGGAAUGCCCCGAGGUAUCAUGUACCCGGAGGACAUUUGUGGUGAAGGCCUGAGGUGUCGGGUAGAGCAUUAGUUUAGGAUUAGCGUAGGUUUACUUUUAGUCCCUUUUUAUUUCGGGUUGUAAUAAUUGGACUGGACUUUACAUUUUAGAUUAUUUUGUUUUGUUUGAUUAUUUUGCGUGCUUCUUGUGCGGUUUAUACAUUUCUUAGUGCCAAAAAAAAUAGUCGAUACACUCUACCAAGCGACCGUGGUUGAACCACGGGAUCGAGAGGUGCCUAACACCUUCCCCUCGGUCAACAGAAUUCCUUAUCCGGAAUCUCUGUUCGCAAACCAGUUUAAAGAGUCAAAUGGUUUUGAAAAGAAUUUUCUAAUGGUGACUUGGCACACCAGAUUAUGUCAAGUGGCGACUCUGAGUAAAAAAUGUAAAUAAUCUUUUUCCGAAAUAAAUUUUCAUUUCUUGUCACUUAAAUAAUAAAAUCCUUUCGAACUAAAAAAUAUAAAUCUUUCGGGAGUCAAAAAAGGGGUGUGACAAUCCUAAGGUAGAUUCAAUCAACAUUUUUCAAAUAAAAGUCAACCAUUUAGGUUGAUUAUAGUUGAUCAAGACAAAUUAAGAUACAAUUCAAUCCUAAUAUUGAUUGGUACGCGCAAGCUGAUCCGGACACCAUGGUUUAAAAAAAUAAAAAAAAAAUCAAACAUUUAUGUUGAUUAUAAUCGUGAUAAAUUAAAACUCAAUUUAAUCGUAAUAUAGAUUGAAUCAAUAUUUUUCAAUUAGAAGUCAAACAUUUACGUUGAUUAUAGUGGUGACAAAUUGAAACUUAAUUUAAUUUUACUACUAAUAAUAAAGAGCAAUAAGUAGGCACGUCUCAACAUGCCUGCUUCAACUGCUUAAAUCAUAAUCUUACUAUAUCAUUCUCAAUUAAUUAUAUAAGUUAUUUAAGUAUUAAAAAAAUAAUUAUAUUUAAUGAAAAGGUAAAAUAAAAAUAAAAUAAUAAAUUAACUCUUGAUGUUUUGUGUUACCAUCUUCAGCUGCUUCAAUCGUAAUUUUAUUUAUCACUCUAAUUAAUUAUUAUAAGCCAUCUAAGUAUUAAAAAAAUUAAUAAGUUAAUAAAAAGGAUAAAUUAGAUAUAAAAUGAUAAAUUAAUUUUUAAAGUUUUAAAUUAAUUUGAUGUCUUAUAUGAGACUCAUUUAAAUUUUUUUCACAAAUAUUUUUUAUAGUAAUUUUGUCAUAUCACUUCUAAUUAGUUGUUAUAAGUUAUUUAAGACAUGUCUACUUCAUUGUUUCAAUCAUGAUUUUAUUAUAUCACCCUUAAUUAAUUUUUAUGGUCAUCUAGGCAUUAAAAAUUAAUAAUCUUUCAUAAAAAAGGUACACUCAAAAUGAUACAUCAAUGUAAAUUAUUUGGUUGACUAUAAUUAUAUUAGUGCCACAAAAAUUACAAUAGAACAGAAGAAAACAUGAAGUAACAUAUAUUAUAUAAAAAUGAGAAGACACGUAAAUUGGGACGAUGAGACUAUUGAUAUCUUAUUGAAAAAUUAUGUUAAAAGCACUAUAAAUCACAUAAAAAAUAUAAAAUAUUUUAUUGACUCUCGAACUUAUAUCCGGGUCACUUAAAUUGAAAUGGAAGAAAAAUAUUAUAAAUCACAAUAAUUAAAAAUUUAAAUUAUUUUAACGUUUGAUUAUCUAAAUUAUAUUUGUGUCACGUAAAUUGAGAUAAAAAAUAAUAAUAUUGUAUCUGUGCUAGCACGGGUCCUUCGAUGUCUAGUCUAAUAUAAAUUGCAUCAAUAUUUUUUAAAUAGAAGUCAAACAUUUAUGUUAACUUUAGUCAUGACAAAUUGCGGCUCAAUUUAAAUAUAGUUUUACUAUAUUACCCCUAAUUAAUUAUAAAAGUCAUUUAAAUACUAAAACUAAUAGUAUUUAAUAGAAAAAUAAAAUAGAAAUAAAAUGAUAAAUUAACUCAUGAUAUUUAAAUUAACUUGACGUCUUAGAUGAGAUCCACUUAUUUUUUUUCACAAGUAUCUUUUAUGAUAAUUUUACUAUAUUAUUUCUAAUUAGUGAUUAUAAGUCAUUUAAGACAUGUUUGUUUCGCUGCUUCAAUCGUUAUUUUACUAUAUCACCCCUAAGUAAUUAUUAUGAUUGUUUAAGCAUUAAAAUAUUUAAAAUAAUUCUAAAAAAAAGAUACAAUAGACACAAAUGACAUAUCAACAUAAAAAUUUAAUUGACUGUCGAAAUUAUAUUAGUGCACAUAAAUUGGGAUGAAAUGGAGGAAGACAUAAGAAGAGCCAACUUUAACAUGACUGCUUCUUGAAAUUUAAUGAAAAGUUGAGGGCAUUUUAGUCUUCUUACAAGAAAAAAAUGCUUAAAAAAUUUGUUUUUGUGCUAUGUUAGUUGAAUCUUAUUAAUAAGGCAAAAUGACCUUCUGGACCCUAUACUAUGUUAGUUUUGUAAAUUGGACACUUUUACUUACAUUUUUGUCAUCUGAACCCCAAAACCCACUAAAAGGCUAUAUUUUAAACCCUUUGACCGUUGACUUUGCCUAUGUGGCAUUAAAAUGCUGACUAGGACGAGGAGAGUGAUUACACUCACUUGGGGUGCGAGUGGGGGUUAAUUUUUUAUCAAUUUUAUAUAAAAAUAAUUAAAAAAUAAAAAAUGAUUAAUUUUUUUUUAGUUUUUUAAUUUAAAAAUAUUUUAAAAUUUUUUAAAAAUAAUAAAUUUUAAAAUAAAAAAUAAACCCCCACCCCCUUCCCAGUCCAACCACUCCCCUACCCCGUCCCAGCCCCUCCACCCCACCCAGCUUUUUUCAGCUUUUUAAAUUUAAAUUUUUUAAAAAAAGUUUUUAAAAUAAUAUUUUUUUAAAAUUCAAUAUUUUUUCAUCUUUUAAAAUUUAAAAAUAUUUUUAAAAACUAAAAAAUAUAUUUUAAAAUAAAUAAAAAAAGGUCCUCCCCCACCCCCAACCCUGUCCAUCACCCCACCCCCUCCACCAGUCNNNNNNNNNNNNNNNNNNNNNNNNNNNNNNNNNNNNNNNNNNNNNNNNNNNNNNNNNNNNNNNNNNNNNNNNNNNNNNNNNNNNNNNNNNNNNNNNNNNNNNNNNNNNNNNNNNNNNNNNNNNNNNNNNNNNUGUCACGCCCCAAAAUCCCAUCGGGCCGGACUGGCACCCGAAGCCGAGAAGGCCCGGGAGAACCCGUUUAAAUACCUGUACUUUCACUUUCAUGUCACCAAAAAUUUGGCCAGCACUUCGUUGCAUAUAGAAGGGUCUAAUUACCUGUAUCAGCACAACACGCACAAAUAUAUAUAUAUAAUACUUGGCCGUCGGGGCCACCACAUAUAAAAAUAUAACAUCACUAUAUGAACUUCCAUGACUUUACCCUUCCUUAUGUCUACAAAGCCUCUAGGAUAUACAUGACAUAACUAGGGUCGGGACAAACCCCCGCCCACACAUGACUCCUGUACAAUAACAAAACAUAAGGGACCGACUCGGCAAGCUCCGAAGCAAAUUGGAGCUCACCAACAAUAGCUGUAUGACCUGGCUCCUAUUUAUGUUGUGAAUGAGCUGAAGCACCUGUGCCUGCAGCAUGAAAUGCAGGUCCCCGUGGGGGACGUCAGUACGAAAUAUGUACUGAGUAUGUAAAGCUGUAAAUAAUCAUAUGUGAUAUGGGGGAUCAAGAAAAUCAGACGCAAGUGAAUAAAUCAUAAUAGAAGUGAACCACACUUCAUAAACACUUUUAGGAUCAUGUACAUUAUCAUUAAUCUGAAUUGGGUUCUUGAAUUCAAACACAUUUGUGGAACGGUAUACAUUCGUUCAUUUUAUUCUUUACAAUUAUCAUUCGCCAUUACCUCCUCCUCCCGAACCUCCAACCACCUAACAAUAAUCAAUACUGUACCGUACUGUGACCAUUAGGCUGCCCCCAGUACAUAUCAACUGUAAUCAUAUCAAAUAUCGGGAUCGGCCCAUGCUAGGCUUAAGCCCCUGAGCUACCACCCACACGUAUAUCAAGUAACACACAUAAGAGAUCUUUCCAAUAACUUAGUUCAAAAGCUUUUGAGAUUAUUACAUUAGUGUUCAUGCCAAUAUAGUACCUUUGGAAUAAUGAUACAUCAAUAGGAACCAAGUAAUAGACUUUCUAUACAAUAACGAUGUAAUAAAGACUCAUUGGUACAUCAACAAUGUGUUUCGGAAUCAUCAAUAUCACAACAAUGAAAUAGGAGCCUUUUGGUAUAUCAAUGAAACAUUUUGACACUUUAUAGAAUGGAAACAACUUCGUUGGUAAUGUAGAACAAUACAUGUUUUUGGACAACCUCGGAAUCUUACUUGAUGGAACAUUGGUGUUUUCAUGCCAAAGAACAUUGUUAGAGUAUGCUUUACAUACCUCGUUGUAGAUUCGGAUACCAAUUCAACACAACUUCCCGCCUUUACAAAUCACUUAUCUACAAUGAAAUGUUUGGCAUCUAGUAUUAGCAACCCAACACCACAAUUCUCUUCCAUAAUUCCAUACAACCAAUAUUUGCAAAGCAUUCCAAAAACCAACUUGAACAAUCGGUUUAUGUGUAUAUAUAUAUAUAAUCAUCAUUUCAAUACCACAUCAUCACACCAAAUCCCUUCACAAUUCAACAUAAUCCAACUAUGCACAAGAAUAAUCCAACAUCAUUUCCAAUCAUCUUUCAACAACAAUCAAAUAACAUACUUCUUAUGCUCACAUGCAUAUAUAUAUAUAUACAUAUCCAUAUAAAUAACACCAACAUAAUUUACAUCCUUACCAUAAAAUGGCCCUUUUGAUUUCGAAGUCCUGUUGGCACAAAUAAGGGGUGCUUCUCGAAGCCCUCGAGACGGUGAACACAACUACGGAAUCAAUUUGGAUUUUCUACGGUUGAAUCACAAGAUAAUUGGAGUUGAACUUAGGCUAGGGUUUCUUAUUCUUCAAUAAUUUGGAUGAUAAAUGAUGGAUAUGAGGCUAAGUAUAUGUAUAUAAUGACCAAUUUUCGUCCAUGAGGUGAUGGAAAAUGACCAUAUUGCCCUUAAAAUUUAAGUAAAUCCGAAUCUGUCCAUGGUGGACUGUUUUGAUAGGCUAAAGUAAAUCGACCAUAACUCUUUGCUCCGAUAUCGGAUUUUUGGUGAAAUUGGUAUGGUUGGAAAGAUAAUUCAAAGGGCUUUCAUUUAAUAUAAAGUAGGCCACCCAGUUCGUCCUGUACAAGGAGUUAUGAUCGUUUGAAGUUGACCCUAAAAAUCUGUUUUGAGAGGCUGAAGUAAAACGAGUAUAACUCAUUACUCAGAUGUCGGAUUUGGAUGAAACCAAUUGCAUUGGAAAGAAGACUCAAAGAUCUUUCUUUUCAUAGGUGGAAGCUCUCCCAGUUCAUUAUAUUAAGGGAGUUAUGAUCGUUCAAAGUUGACCCCAAAAAAUGGCUGACCUCAGUAGUUUGUGUGCAGGAAAUUUUUCUGCACAUUUACUAUUCCCAAUAUCCCGGCCACCGUUUUAUAGUUUUGAACGUGCUUGAUUAUAUCCGAAACCUAUUCCUUUUUGGAAAUCUUUAUAUCGUUGGAAAGCUUAUUCAAUAACCUUCGUAUGGAACCAUCGACGGGCAAAUUCCGGUAUAAAUAAAAUAAAAUAAAAUUAAUUUCAUAUAAAUAAGACCAAUACACGUACUUGAAUACGCCAAUAUAUGUACUUGAAUACGGGGUGUUACAUUCACCCUCCCCCAAGUGACACAACAAUCACCACACCAGCAUUCCGUCACUCCCCUAACCACCCCAACCCACAACAUUAUAAAAUUCCAUUAAGAACCCCAGCAUUACAAAACCCCAUUAUAAAAUUUCAUUACAAAAAAAUUUCUCCUUAAGUUCAUUAGCAGCUUUGGUCAAUUUUGUGUUAAAUUUCAGUUUUUGGGUAAGAUUUGAUCAAGACAUCAUGGAAUUAAUUUAAAUCAAAUACCAUGAAAUUAAUUCAAAAAAAAAAAAUUAAAUUUCAAUUGCAUUUCAAUUUUACCAUGGAAUCAUCUGCUAACAAAAAAAUUAAAAUUUCACACCAAAUAAUCAAACACAAUCAAUAUAAAAUGGGUAUUAUGAAUCUUGAAUUCAUAUGAUUUUUUUUUUUUAUAUAAAAUCUAACAAUUUUAAUUGUUUUUUUUGAUUCAUUGGAAGUAGAAUAUAUUAAUUGGAGUUUAUAAAGAAAAGGAGAAGGAGAAGAGAGAGAGAGAGAGUAGAAUAAGAAGAAGGAGAAUAGAGAGACUAGAAGAAGAAGCAGAAGAAAGAGAGAGAGAGGGAGAAUAAAAAUCGGGGAAAGAGAAAGAGAAGGGGGAAGAGAGAGGGAAAAAAGGAAGGGGGGGAGGGAUUUUUUUUUUUUUUUUAAAUUAAUUAAUUAAUUUUAAUAUUUUUUAUAUUUAAAAAUGACGUGGAAGCUGACAUGACAAUUGACGUGGAGAGAUUGUAUUACACUCACCAAAAAAGUGUUUAAAAUGUUACUUUUUAAUAGGUUCAGGGGUCCAGAUGACAAACAUGUAAGUAGAAGUGUCCAACUUACAAAACCGACAUAAUACAGGGGUCUAGAAUGUCAUUUUGCCUAUUAAUAACUUUAAAAAAUGUCCACAAUCUUCUAUUUAUUUACAGAUCAUGCCAUUAAAAAAGUCCACAUUAUUCUAUUUAUUUACAAGUUUGCCCUCCAAGCUACACUUAAGUAGAUGGGUCCCACAAUACUUUUCAACUUUUCAUAGAUUUAAUUUAAUUUAUUUAAAUAUAAGUAAUAUAAUAAUUUAAUUAUUUUAUUUUAAUUAAUUACAACUAAAUAUUUAAAGUAAAUCAAUUUUAUUAUUUUAAUUGACUUUUAUAUUCAAAAAUAAUUUUUUUACUUAUUUAUUUUAGUAAAUUUAUAUUUAAAUUCUUUUCUUAUAUAGAAAUACUAUUAUUUAAACUUAAAUUAAAAAUUUUAAAUUGCAAAAUUAAUAAAUUUAUUUAAUUAAAUAAAUUCCUAAUGAAUAUUUUCUUAAGAUUUGUAUUGGGUCAAUAUGUAUCAAGUAAAAAAGAAAGAAAGAAAAUAUAUAAUAAAUUUUAUUAUUGUGAGAGAUAAACAUAAUGCCUUAUUCAAUAAUGUUUAAUAAUAUCAUAUUUUGUAUAUCCAAAUUAUAGCAUUUCGUAUUUAAUUAAUAUAUUACUCUUGUAGUUAUCGAUGAUUACUAUUGGAUAUGAAAAAAUCAUGUUAAUUUUUAUAGAUCUAAUAUAAUCAAUCGCUCUAAAUUAAUUAUUAUGAGUCAUCUAAGUAUUAAAAAAAUAAUAAUAUUUAAUAAAAAAAUAAAAUAGACAUAAAAUUCAAAAUUAACUCUUGAUUUUUAAAUUAAAUUGUCUUUCUUCAAAUGAUGAUUUCACUAUACCACCCCUUAUUAUAAGUUAUUUAUGUAUUAGAAAAUUAAGAAUAACAAAAUGAUAUGUCAACAUAAAAAAUUUGAUUGACUAUCAAAAUUAUAUUAGUGUCAUAUAAAUUUUGAUAAGACAGAGAAAGGUAUAAAGCAACAUAUAUUAUUUGAAAAUGAGAUAAAAAAGUAUUAUAAAUAACAAUAAUUAAUAAAAAUAUUUUAAAAAUUGACUAAUUGCCAAAUUUUGUCUGUACCGCAUAAAUUGAGACUAAGAGAGUAUUCAUAUUUUAUUGAAAAGUUAUGCAAAAAAUAUUUUAAAUCCCAUAAUUAACAAUUUUAAAAAUUCUAAAAUAUAAAAUAUGUGGCUGCCUCUUGAAAUUAUAUCAUUGUCACUUAAAUCUUCGUCCCAAUUUAUAUGAAUCAUUUUUUAUUCAGUCUCAAAAAGAAUGACAUAUUUCUAUAUUUACGAACAAUUUAAACUUUAAAAUAUCAUUUUAUUCUUAAUGAAAUGAUUUAUAGUCACACAAAGAUCCGUGGCUUAUUUUAGAAUACAAAAUUCAAAAGUCUUUCUUUCUUAAACUCCGUAUCGAAUCAAAUUAACUUAUAUAAAUUUGAAAGGAGGGAGUAAUUUAUAUUUUGAUAAUUCUAAAACCUAAUUUAUAUUCAAAAUGACUUAUUUUUAAUUCUUUAGCUGUGCUGAAGUAGGAUAUAAAAUAUUUGUUGAGGAGAAAGAGCACCGAAAAUAAUUUUUUUUUUUUAAUCAAAAAUAAAAAAUAGUACAUGAUAAUUCAAAAAAAGAACUUUAGGAGAGAGAAUGGGUCGACAAAAGAGGACCCAUUAAAAUACUUGUCAAAAAAUGUGAGUUGCUCACGUAAAAAAUUUUGUGGUAUCUGAGGUAAAAAUAUAACAUGGUGUGGGAGGAAUUAUUUUUGAAUUAAAAAAUAUACGGAUCCCGCCUAUGUUACCCCUCUCACCUUUUAUUUAUCUCUUCCCUCCUUUUAAUCAACAAUUCAUUUUUCUCCAUUUCAACCAUUUUUCUUUUUUAUUUAAUUCUUUUCUCGUCUAAUUUUUUAGAUAAGUUUUAUUUGAAUUUUUUUCAUCCAUUAAAUUUAUAUCAUGUGUAUAGAUCUUCUUUCAUUUGAUAAUUGAAAUAUAUAUUUUAUUUUAAUUUUUUUAUUAUAUUAAGAUGGGCGAAGAGAAAAUGAAAGAUAAUUAUAAAAUGAGAAAUUAUAUUCUCACCAACAUGAUAAAAAUUUAAGUUGUCAAUCAAUUUGUGCUAAAUUCCUCAUUUGAUAUGUAUAUAAGUGUUGAUUGGUCAGUUUGUUAACUUAUCAAAUUAAGAUUGUCAAUUUUUUUUGUAUUAAUAAGCCAUAUCCGGAUAAUAAAAUUAGAUUGUUUGCUUUUCUUGAUUCUUUUAGGAUUUGAAGUACACUAAUGAUAAAAUUCUUACUAAUACAUUUAUUGUUGUCCUUCCUAUCUCCAAUUAUUGCAUGAAAAAUUGAGUUUUUUUUUGUUUUUUUUUUUCUAUUUGUGCACAUAAUGAAAUGAAAGCUUUGUGUGUGAGUGAGAGAACUCACCCAAAUUGCUAUUUAUAUUCUUAUUUGCGUGGCUUAAUUUAACAACUCUCUCGCAAUGGCGGAGGAAUAUUUUAGGUAAGGAGUUUAAAAUUUAAAAAUAUGAUUAAAAAAAUAAUCAAAGGAGAUUUAACGCUUGCUAUAUAUAUAUAUAGAUGAAAAAUAAUUUUAAAUUUAUAUAAAUAAUAUAUUUUUUCAUCAAAGGCAGUUCAGAUGGACCCCUUCAUUAUUAGCUAGCUUCAUUCCAAAAUGCUCCCUCGAUCCAACAAUAUUUAUCCACUAAGACCAUUACUCAAUGACUUAGAUAAAUACCUUAAAAAUUAAUAAAUAUAGUACAAUUUUAUUAUAUCACCUUUUGAAUAUGAUAAAUUUGUUAAUAUUUUAAAAAUUAAUUUAGGUGUAAUGAAUAGAUUUAAUAUUAAGGAUAAAAUAGACACAAAUAGAUAAAUUAUUCAUUAAUUUUUAAACUGAACAAGUAUAAUUGGACAUUACUUUUAAUAAAAAAAAAUUUACUAAUUGUUCUUCACAAAAAAAAUAUUUUUAUUCUCGUACAACCAUCAAAAAUUGUAUGAGAUUGCGUUAUUUAUUAGACAUGUGACAUUAUUGGUGGUUCAACCUAACACCUCUUUGUCCCUCCGUUUUCUUUCCUAUAGUUCAUUUCUAAUUUUUAGCCAAACUUUAUUUGCUUUUGAUUUUUUUUAUAAAAUCUUUUUAUAAAACAAACGAAAAUAAGUUGACGUUUCAGAAUUUAAAAUCAACCACGAAUCACAAGUUAUUAUAAUUGGUGAACCAGCUAAACAAAAAAAUAAAAUUAUUACUUUUCAAAUUUCAUUUAAUAAUAUAUAUAUAUAUGUAUAUAUAUAUAUAUAUAUAUAUAUAAUUUAAAGGAUUCCCAAUUCAUAUUCAAAACCAUCCUUCAAGUUCAAAACACACCCACACACACGCGCACACACACACACACACACACACACACACACACAUAUAUAUAUAUAUAUACUAGUUUCUCGACACGUGCGUUGCGUGUGUGUAAAGUCAUGUAGAAUAUGAACAUUAAUAAACUAAUACUAGUAUUAUUAAAAUAAUUUUUUUAUGAGUAAUUAUACAUGAAAAGAUACCGUACAAAUUUUCAAAUAUGAUCAAUGAGGAUCGCUAUAGUGGCAUAUUUGUCGAGAUUAAGAUGAUCGGAGAUUGUCUAAAAUUACGAAGAUGAACAAUCAAAGCUUCAGUGGAUGCAUUUCCUUUAUUUGUUUAGAUUUUAUAAGUACAAAUAUGCAAUGAAGCAUAUCACACCUAAUACAUUGAUAUAAACGUUAUUCUUCACAUAAUACUUCUUAAAACUAUUAUGAAUAUAUUCACUUAAAUAAUCCAUUUUGAAUCUUUCAUAUACACCAUGUGUUGCUCUAGUAUAAAUCAAAUUAACCAAACGAGAAGGUUGACACUCAUAACUUAACAAGUAUACGAAGGAGUGUUAAAAUUCAAUUGACAAAUGAUAAGACAAGACUUGACUUAUUUCAAAUUUGGUUUCACCUCUCUGUAAGUUUCUGCUUAUUUUGACCAAUAAGCAAUACUUAUUGAGUUCAUCUCAUGUUGGUUCCUUACCGCGUCUUGGUGGGAGUGACAUGGACAGUGGACAUAGAUUUUGCUUGUUAAUUAGCUGGGAUGGAAACACAUCUUUUUAUUUUUUCCUCGUGUCAAAUCUUGUACUAUCCUCUACAUGUAUGUACAAAUUUGUAAUGGAAUCAAAACACAACAAGGGACACUGUAAUAUCUAUAUACUUCUUGGUGUAUUAAUAGCUUGGGAAAAUUAUUUCGAUAUAAAGGACUUGGCUUCAUUAGUUUGACAGCAAGAUGUCAAAAUAUUGAGACGUAAAGGCAUGCAGAUUGGUACUGCAUUUGGGCUAUCUCGUUUUAUUUGUUCAAACAAUUGAAAAUUAAAGGAUUUUAACAUGUAUGUAUGCAACCUGCUCUUAAAUGUUGUCUGUCUCCAACCUUUUCUUAAAUAUUAUUUUCUCCGUUUAAAAAAAAAUGACCUAUUUUCCUUUUUAAUCUGUUUUAAAAAGAAUGAUCCCUUUCAUUUUUUGGAAUACUUUAAUUUCAACUUUCCACAUGGAAUGUUUAGGACCUCAAAAUUAAAGGGUAUUUUGAUACAUUUUACACAACUUUAAUUUGAGGCCACAAGAUUCAAAAAUCUUCUUUAUUUCCUUAAAUUUUGUGUCAAGUCAAAGUAGGUAAUUUUUUUUGAAACUGAGUAUGUCAUUUGGUGUAGAUAACUGUUAUUAUCUUACAAUUCAUCUCAUCUGAUGUUUGAUUGUUGGGUGACUAUCCAUUAUGUUAGGCAUGAAAUCAUUGUAUAUAUUAUCUUUUUAAUUAAAAAAAAUGGCAUGGAAUGACUAUAUAUGUUUUGUUUUCAAUUAAAAAGGCAUGAAAUCACUCUAUAUGUUAUUUUUUUAGUAAGAGGAAUGGAAUCACCAUAGUAAACUGACUAUAGGAAAUAUCAAUGAAUCUUGUUAGUUGUCGCAUACAAUGUGAUGUAAAGGUUAGGCUCACUUCACGUGUUUAAAUUCUAUCGCAGAAAAACAACCAAGUAUUUAAGUGGAGAUGGGUAGAGGUAAAUCCAUUAUCCCCGUUGAGUUUCAAAUCACGGACCACUUGCUCUCGAGAUUUUUAGGUUAUCCAUGAAAAAGGUGUCCUGCUAGCCCACAUGUCAUCAAGCAAAGAAAAAAAACACCAUUAAAAAUUGUAUCCUAUUAAAAUUUCACUUGACUUACAUGUGAUUACUAUUUAAGUUCUUUUUAACUUUUCAUAAAGGAGGUAGUAUUGGUUUCUUCAUUUUGUUGUUUUUAUAAGGAAAUCUCUAUCCUUUCAAUGAUUUAUUUGACCAAAAUAUGUUUUUACCAUCACCGAUGUAAUAAAACUAUUAAUUUUUUACUUUUGUAAGAGUUGUUGGUUAAGAUUCUAGUUGCAUUGGGCGCUGUCAAAUGUCACCACUUUUGCUUAGAUAUGGAGCGUCUUCUUACUUGAGGAAGCAAUUCAGAAUGUUUUAAUUUAUGUAGGAGAAAAUGACUACAAAUCCCUCGACCUUUACCCUAAAUCUCAACUAUACACUUAUACUUUACAGGGGUCCUAUGAGGUUAUGACCCCCCUGAACUAUUUUAAAGUGGAAUAUUUAUACCCCUAAAAGCUCAUGCUCAGACAUUGUUCUGUUCAUUUUGCUCUAUCCAAGUUAGGGCAUGAAUAAUUUAUUCAUAGUUUAGGAAGAUCUUAUGAUUUCUAUGGAAACGGACACCAAUUGACAGGGGUUCUAUCAAUAUUGAGAUCAAUUAUUUGAUGACAAAAAUUAGAUGUUAUGCAUUCUACUGAAAUCUAAGUCCUCUCUAUCAUAAUUUAAUUGGUGAAAACUAAAUUGAUGCUUAAAACAUAUGAACUCCACAAAAGCAUUUAAUUCAAAUAUGAUAAAAGUAAAUAAAAGUUUACAUAAGUGGCUUUCUACGCAACAGUUGUGUUACCUCUAUCGGUUCACCAAUAAGUUUAUAUUAUAAUUUGGACAGAAUAAGCAAACCACAAGUAAAAGAAAAUAAGAACAACACACAGAUUUACGUGGACAUCCUUGUGGGAAAAAUCACGGACAGAGGCAAAGGAGGUUUCACUAAAAUGGAGAGAAAGUACAAUGUGGAGAAGGCUGAAUUUUUCUGAAUAGUAAAAAUAACCCACUAAAUCGCACUUAUAUAGUACGUGCGUACAAAUAGGUCCUAGGCUCAAAAACAUAAAGGUCCAUCCCUACGCUACCACCACAGAACCCAUUGAAAAUCACAAACAUGAGUCGCAUCGCGAAACUUUCAGGACAGGACCAAUAAAAUUCAGGUCACAACUCUAACAGUUUAUAAUAAAAGAAUCCAUUCCAUAGGAUACGAAAAUUCACAUAGUAGAGGAUGAGUUUUUCUCUCUGUACACCAAUUUUGACAAGAUAAUGUUAUGCCAAUAGAAUGCUUCUCUAUACUUGAAAAGAAUGAAUAGUUGUCUUAUCUAAAGAAAAUAAGAUGUGACUGGCAUGAGUUGGUGCUUUUAAGGUAGUAUAGAUAUAUGGGUGCAUGACUAUUCGCAAUUUGGAUAAAAAUUGACCCAAAUCAAUAUACAUAUAUAUAUAUAUAUGUGUGUGUGUGUGUAUGUGUGUGUGUGUGUUUAAGUCAUCGACAGAUACUUUAAGUUGUCUCGAAACUUCACUUUAACCUCUCAAUUAAGGCUUAUACCUAUCAAGCCUCUAAUCCACCCGAAUUUUGCUUUAAUCAGACCUUUUUUUUGUCAAUCAACUAAAAGCUAAAGUGUGUGCAACACACAUGCAAUGAUGUGACAAAAAUAACAAAUUAAAAGGUGACACUUGACAUUGAAUCCAAAAGAAAUUAAAAAAUAUUUCAUAACUAAUAAAAUUAUAAUUUAAAAAGAAUUAUAAUUUUUUUUAAAGAACUAAAAUCACCACCACCACCACCACCACCACCACCCUCAUCUUCUUUAUCUUGUACUCAAAAAUCUACGGCAUAACUCCAUUUUUUCGAUAAAAUUCUUCCUCUUCUACAAAGACAAAUGAGAUGGAGAAAAAUCAAAAUGGAUUGAGGAAGAUGAAAUAGCUUAUUGAUUUAUGAAAAUCGCAUUUUAAUUUUUCUUUUUGAAUUAAAUUUACAAUUUUAUUGAUUUGUAAAAAAAAAUGAAUUUACAUUUUUCCCGCAAAUUAAUGGCGGAAAAAAAUUAAGAAUGAAAUCGAACUAAGAACAAAAAAUUUUCAAAUCAAAUUCAAACAUAAAUUCAAAACUAAGAAAAAAAGAGGAAAAAAAGUAGAAAAAAUGGAGGGGAGUGGGAGAAGAAGACGAAGAGGAGGGGGGGGGGUAUCAGAUAGGGGUGGGAGCCUUUUUUUUAAAUUUUAUUUUAUUAAAAUUUUUUUGGGGUCCUCAGUGCCACUUGAAACGUUUUUAUUCGUGAUUUAGUAAAAAUUUCACUCCUCACGCACCCCUAUUGAGUGAAAAACACGCGGAGUGCCAUGUAGACAAAAAAAGCCUGAUUGAAUCAAAAUUCGAGUGGGCUAGGAGCCUGAUAGGUACAGACCUUAGUUGAGGGGUUUACGUAAAUUUUCGGGACAACUUAAAGUGUCUACAUCUCUCUCUCUCUCUAUGUGUGUGUGUACUAGUUUAGGUGUAUGCGCCUUACGCGUUUACCUUACUUUAAUGAGUUCAAACAUUACAUUAAAUAGGAUAUUUGUUUAAAUAAUAACGAUGAAUAUAAUAAUUAAAUUUAAUAUCUUUUGAGUAUGUAAAGAUGGAGAAUUUAUUUAUUAAACCUAAUUUUUACCAAAAAUAUUUUUAAAAGUCUAUCAAGAUUCAUCUACCAUCUGUAAAUUAAACAAAAUAAUACAAUGAUAGAGACAUCAAAAUAAUACAAUUAAGCUUAAAUUUUAUACACAACAAUUUCUCAAAACCAACCAACAUUGAUCUAUCACCUGUAAAUUGCAACAAAAUAAUACGAUAAUAGAGAUAUCAAAAUAAUACAACUAAAUUUAACAUUUACAUAAAAAAAAUUCUCAAAACCAACCAACAUUGAUCUAUCACCUGUAAAUUGCAACAAAAUAAUACGAUAAAAGUGAUAUCAAAAUAAUAUAAUUAAACUUAAAUUUUACAUACAAAAAAUUUUCAAAGCCGAUCGAGAUUCAUCUACGAACUGUAAACUACCACAAGAUUACAAACUAAUAGAGAUUAUUACGAUAAUACAAUUAAACCUAACAUUUUCCUAAAAAAAAAUUAAAGUCGACCCACAUUCAUCUAGCAUUUGUAUAUUAAAAUAAAACAAUAAGAUAAUAAAGAUAUCAAAACAAUACAAUUAAACUAACUUUUACUCAAGAAAUUCUUCAAAGGCAACCGACAUUCAUCUACGACCUGUAAACUAUAAAAUAAUAUAAUAGUGAUCACAAAGCUUAGAUUUUGACUCAACUAAUUGUUACCUGAGUGAAAAUUCUGACCCCAAAGAAUCAUUUUGAAUGACAACAAAAAAGAUACAUAUAUACUCACAUGUUGAAUUCUAUUAUGCUGACAAAAAUAGUGAAGAAGUUGAGGGUUAGAAAAUCAAGCAUCCACCAAUUUAGACAUGUAAUCGAAUCAAGUUAGAUAGACAUCAAUCAUAUUCUCCAACAGGUAAAUCGGUUUGUUCUCUAGUUUAACGUACAUCUCCAAAUUUACAGAAGUAUUUCCUUAAUAAAGUCUUAUUUUAAGAGUAUUUUUCUAAUUAAACAGUAGAAAGAAAAAUAUGAAUUAAUUCUCCUACCAUAUAUUUUAGGAAUCCCAUAUAUUUUAGAAAGUCUAGUAGAAAGAAAAAUAUUAAUUAAUUCUCCUACCAUAUAUUUUAGGAGUCCCAUAUAUUUUAGAAAUACUCGUUAAUAUAAUAAACAAUAAUUAAAUAAUAAAUUAAAAAAAUAGUGUAAAGAUAGUUUUGUCUAAAGAAGAGUAUUUUAAUGAAGAGUAAAAAGUUUAAAUCACUUUUUCUAAGGGUCUUCACACUUUUAAUAUAUUAUAGAUUAUAGAUAUAGAUGUACGUACGUAUGUAUUUGUUUUCAUCAAAUUUAUUUUUAAUUUAAAUAUCUUGUAUUAGAUUAUGUCAUGUUACUAUUUAAUGUGGUAAUAUAUGAAUUUAUUUAUUUUUUUGGUAAAAAUGAAUUGUUGUCCUUUUAUUAUUUUGAAUAUUUUUUUUUGUUGUGUAUACAUAAUUAAUAAUCAAACAACCAGACCAACUCAAAUUCAAACCGAUGACAAUCGAAUUGAUAAAUAUAUUAUUUGAUUUGGUCUUAGUAAUUUGUAAGUCAACUAUAUUGAUUUACUUUUAAUUUUGACCAAUAAUUGAUUCAAAUUGAUCUGCGAACACUCCAACUUAGUUAUGUUGAUCAUUUACAUCUGUUUUUUUUUCACACUUAACUCGAAAUCAAGUCAUGUUAAAAUUUUAUUAUUAUAAUUAGCACAAAAAUCAUAUUUAACAUAUAUAUUUGUGUUUCAUCACUGCUUACACUAUCAAUGAUCAGUUCGAUAAGGUAUUAUUUCUAAAAAAUUGUUAAAUUUUUAGUUGGAAGUUUUAUAAAUGAAAGUUUCAAAAAUCAUGAGACAUAUUUUUGAAAGAUUAAAAUAUAUAAAGUAUAAAAUUUUAAAAUAUGGUGAAUUUCAUAACAAAACAAUUUUUUGAAGAUAUUUUUUAAAAUAUUAAUUAGAAUAUAUUGUCAAACGUUAGAUUAGUCUCAAAGUUUUGUAAGAGAAAAAUUAUUUGUGAUUAUUUUUAAUUAAAUAAAUCAGUAAAACUGAUAUGAUUAUUUAACUGACUAAAAUGAUAAAGCUAUUCGAAAUAGUAUAAAAAACAAACAGAAUCCUUCGUGCCAAUUAUAAUUUUCGUUUCAUAAAAAGUCCUUACUUCGUUAUUCUUACAAGGAUUCUUUUAUCCAAGUUAAAUAAAUUAUUUUACGAUUUUCAUAGUUUUGUAUAAUUUUAUACUCCCUCCGUCUCAUUUUAUGCGUCGUCAUUUGAUCAGGUACGGAAUUUAAGAAAUAAGGAAAGACUUGGUAAUGUUUACCAACUUGUUCUUUAUCAAAAAUGUGCUACUAUAUAUAUAUUUUUUUUAAUUAAGUGGGACCAAUAAAGAUAGAAGUGAAAUUGUGUCGUUAAAUAGUUAUCAAAUAAGGAAAGAUUAUAUUCUUUUUGAGACGGAUAAAAAAAAUGAUGAUACAUAAAUGCAAUGGAGAAAGUAUUUUUAAUUUAUUUUUUUAAUCAUGUACUAAAUAUUUUUGAGUUGUAGUAGAAGGUUAAAAAAGAAUACCAAAUGCACUGUUGCAACUUUGGCCAAACACAAAUUGAUGUUCUAAUAUUGAAUUUUUUUUUAAAAAAAUUAAUUAGCUAAAUUUUGAUUCGGUGUUUGAAAUUUAGAAAUAUUAUUUUUCAAAUUAAAUUCAGUUUGAAAUUGAAUUGUGUGAUCCGUUUGAUUGAAAAAAGUGAUAUACGAAAAUAAUUUGCUAAAUGAAUAAUGAAUAGUCUCGAUUGUAGAAUCUGAAAAUAAUAUGUUAUAGUAAUAGCUAAUGGAAUCUCGUGAUGUACUCAUACAAAUUAAAUUAUGUUAAUUACCUUAUUUAAAAUAAAAUUAUUCGAGAAAAUGACAUUUUUAUUACUACCCAUAAAAAGAAGUACUACAUGAAAGUUUCAAGAAUCAACUAGUUUAACGGGUAAAAUAAUAACAUACUGUAAUUAUAAAUUGUUUUGCAUGUGAAAUUAAACAAAAUAUAAUCUAAAGAAAAUAAAAAUCUUUUGCAAUAUUUAUUCAAUAUAAAAAAGUUUAUUUUAUCCCAAUAAUUUAAAAUCAGUAAAAAAAAAUUGUAAUUAUUUUUAAUUAAAUAAAUUAAUAAACUGAAUAUAAUUAUUUAACCGACUAAAAUUGCAAAGUUAUUCAAAGUAGUAUAAAAACCAAAUAAAAUAAAAUCAUGUAGAGUAAUGAAGAUGAAAGAAAACAAAGUGUAGGAGAAAGAAAUGCCAAUUUCUACUUGACAUAUCUCAUAUUUCGUUUUUCACAUUACGACCAUGAUUUAUUAAAAUCAGGUAAAUAUUAAGGGUGGUUUUGAAUUGGGGAGGGUAAUUUGAGUAUCAAAAAAUUAUAAAAUGACAAUAUGAUCCUUACUUGUUACUUUAAUUACUAAAAUAUCGAUCAAAAAGUGGAUUUCGAAUCAUUCAAGUCAAUUUCGUUGGAGUCAAAUAUAAUUUCCCAUUAUGUAAUUUGCCUUAUUCUCCAUCUGACAAUGUUAUAUCGUCUUAGCCAUGACGUUGAUAUCUCCAUCCAUAUCUCCGUCCUAAAAAGGAAAACUUUAGGUUUUGGAAAUUAAUUAAAAAAUACAAAUAAAAUGAUGUGUCCGCUAAUAGAAUCAUCAUAUAUGUCAGUUGAACGAAGAUUUUCUUGCCAAAUAUGCCUAAACACAUUUAGAUAAAUAUUUGGUGUAGUCAGCAUAUAGGCAUGUUUUGCUAGCCAUUGAGUGAUCAUUGAGAUAAAAUACUUACAUUCCAAAUUGUUCAGGUGUGAAAAUCAAAAAAAUAUUUUUGAUUCUUUUAAAGUAAUUAUGAUAAAUUAAAGUAUGGUAUUAUGUAAUUUGUCUUAUACUUCAUCGUGACAUCUGAUAAUGUUUUAUCGUCUCAGCCAUGACGUCGAUAGCUUCGUCUUGAAAAGAAAAAUUUAGGCUUUUAAGAAAAUCAAUUGAAAAAUAUAAAUAAAAUGACAUGUCAGCUAAUAACGUCAUCCUAUAUGUCAGGUGGACGAAGAUUUUAUUGCCAAACACUCCUAGAUGCGUUUAGAUAAAUAUUUGAUAUAGUCAACAUAUAGGUAUGUUUCGUUAGCAAUUACGUGAUUAUUAAGAUAAACUAUUCACACUCCAAAUUAUUUAGGUAUGAAAAUAAAAAAAAUAUAUUUUUUAUCCUUCAAGAAAAAAAGUAUGGGAAAGUGCAGUUCAAAAAGGCAUGUAGUCCUAAAAAUAAAGACGUUUGUAAUAAAAGAUCAAUUUUAUUGGAAUUUUUCACAUGUCUUGACUGCGUAAUUAAAACAAAGAAGCAAAACUGUGGUUACAAUUCUUCAAAAAAUACACCAAAAAUUUGUAAAAAAAUUUAUUGAAGUUACAAAUGUAUCAUAUUGAUAUUGUAUUGUAUUAUAUUAUUUUGACAAGGAGGUCACGGGUUCUAGCCUUGGAAAUAGCCUCUGGCAGAAAUGCAAGGUAAGACUGCGUACGAUACACCCUUGUGGUGGGGCUCUUCCUCAGGCACCGCGUAUAGCGGUAGCUUUAGUGCACCGAAUUACCUUUUUUUUUUAUAUAUUAUUUUGAUAAAUAUCAUAUUUUAAUAGAUUAAAUUAUUUCACGUUAUUCCGUCUCGUCACACGUAAUCAAAAUGUAAGGCUCAAAAAAUUCCAGUAGCUUAAUUAAUUGAUUACCUAAACUAUUACUUGUUGGUCAAGAUUCUACUACCCACCUUAUAAUCCCCUCUCUUAUCCUCCUCCCAUUAACUAAAAAAGGAAACUAAUUUUUGUAGUCUUUUUUACAAAUUUUGAUUAGGACUAAGCCUCAACAAUAUUUUUCCUAUUCAUAUUUGGAUUUGGAGAAUUAAAGUUAAUGCAAUUAAAACUUUCUUGUAUCAAUCCAUAUUGAUAUGGGAUUAAGAGAAGCCAAAUAGCUCUAUAAAUAUAAACCAAUACUAUUUCACAUUCUUCAUCACAAAUUUCUUUAGCACUUAAUAGUCCUUAGUUUAUAAACUUGUUUUUCCCUUGUUUGUUGAUCAUGAUCACCAUGCCUAUCAAGCAAGAAAUAUCAUCGACUUAACGGACGAUUUAGACGAUACCAAUGUCCCCAUGAACACAAGUAAUGAUAUAGUUCCUGUAACCAAUUAUGGUGUUGGUUCUUGUUUUCUUGAUAUUCAAGAAAGUCCUAUGAAGAAGAUGAAACUUGAAACUGAGACUUGUAUGAUUGCUCCUUUGUCAAUUUGUCCUAAGAAUGAAUUCGUAGGAGGUUUCCCUGCUGUUAAUCCAAUUGCUACUAGUUGUAAGUAAUUCUGGAAAGCUGGAGAUUAUGAUGGCAAUAAGGAGGGUGCAUGUCAUGAUCAAACUGUUGUUGGUAUGGAUCAUGUGAGAGUUCAUCCGAAAUUCUUGCAUUCGAAUGCUACUAGUCAUAAAUGGGCAUUGGGUGCUUUCGCUGAGCUUUUAGACAACGCGAUGGAUGAGGUUUGCAAUGGUGCUACAUUUGUUAGCGUAGACGUGCUGGACAAUAAGAAAGAUGUUGGGAGUAAGAUGUUGUUAGUUGAAGACAAUGGUGGUGGAAUGACUCCUGAUAAGAUGCGCCAGUGCAUGUCGCUUGGGUACUCUGCGAAAAGCAAAUUAGCAAACACGAUUGGUCAAUAUGGAAAUGGUUUCAAAACGAGUAGUAUGAGGCUAGGGGCUGAUGUGAUUGUGUUUUCACGGGGGAGGGAUAGAGCAACGAGCAUGUCGACACAGAGUGUAGGAAUGUUGUCGUAUACUUUUCUAAGGGGCACGGGGAAAGAAGAUAUAGUUGUUCCUAUGAUCGAUUAUUUUGUGAAGAGGGGAGGGACGUGGGAGAUGUUGGUUCGGUCUAUAGCUGAUGAUUGGAAGAGGAAUUCGGAGACAAUAGCACAAUGGUCUCCUUAUGAGAACGAACAGGAUCUUUUCCAGCAGUUUGAGUUAUUGAAAGGUGAUCAUGGGACGCGAAUUGUCAUAUACAAUCUUUGGGAGGACGAAGAAGGAGCCCCAGAGCUCGACUUUGACACUGAUCCACAUGACAUUCAAAUAAGGGGUGUAAGUCGAGAUGAAAAGAAGAUUGAGAUGGCGAAAGAAUAUCCUAACCCCAGGCACUUUCUAACUUAUCCACAUUCUCAAAGGAGUUAUGCUUCGAUUUUGUAUCUGAGGCUUGCUCCUGGAUUUCGAAUAAUUUUGAGGGGGGAAGAAGUUGAACAUCAUAAUAUGGUAAACGACAUGAUGCUGUCGGAGGAGAUUACGUACAGACCACAAUCCGUUGGUUAUGAAACAUCGGUAGCAGAAGGAACUAUUGGUUUUGUGAAAGAUGCAAAACAUCAUAUUGAUAUUCAAGGUUUCAAUGUUUAUCACAAGAAUAGGCUCAUUAAGCCUUUCUGGAGGGUGUGGAAUGCUGCUGGCAGCGAUGGUCGCGGUGUGAUAGGCGUCUUGGAAGCUAAUUUUGUUGAACCAGCUCAUGAUAAACAGGGCUUUGAGCGCACGAUUGUCCUUGCUAGACUCGAGGCACGCCUGCAAUUUAUGCAGAAGAAGUAUUGGUCUUCAAACUGUCAUUUCAUUGGUUAUGCUAAGCAUCGCAAUGUAAAGAACACUACUGUCUCUCCUGAUCAAGAAGCACCAAACACUUGUUCUGCGCCUACAAGCAAAUCCUGUUCCCCAUUCAGCUCCAAUGUCGGCCACACAACCUGUCAUGAUGAUAGAUCUAAACCGAAAUCAUUUGGAGUAGAACAUGAGACGAGACCCGUUCAUUCUUCAGUAAAGGACAGUUCGGUGCAGGAAGCAUCCCGUGUUUAUAUAGGAUCUGGGGAAGUCCCACACCCAGUUCAAGUUUCAAUACAAGCAGGACGCCAGCCUAUGUAUGUAGAUCAAAAUCAGCAAGUGCGUACGUCAUCUAACUCGGCAAGUGUGUCCAUUGAAUAGGCAUCAUGAUCUAACUCAGCCAACGUGUACAUUGAAUAGACAACCCGAUAUAACUCAGCAAAUGUGUAUAUUAAAUAGGCAAACUGAUGGAAC
rnacentral:lncRNA from 1 species